UCCAUUGUCAAAUAUGAGGGCAUAUAGAUGUACUCCCAUGUUUUCUUCUAAGAAUUUUAGUUCUUAUAUUCAAAUUUUAUAAAGAGCAAGCCUAAAACAUUGCUUUUUUGCCCUUUAAAAAACUUUUUACCAUUAACUGGGUGUUGUGGAUCACACCUAUAAUCCCUGAUACGUAGGAAGCUAAGGCAGGAGGUUCACAAGUUUGAGGUCUGUCUGUGUAACUUAAUGAGACCCUCAGCAAUUUAGGAAGACCAUGUCUCAAAAAAAAAAAAAAAAAAAGGUCUGGGAUAUAGCUCAGUGGUAGAGUACCCCUGGGUUCAAUCCCCAGUACCACACACAAAAAACAAACAACAACAACAAAACAAAACAAAACAAAACUUUUCAUCAACCUUUUACCUAGAAUAUGGUAUACCUUGGGGAAUGAUGUUCCAUGUGUGCUAAAUAAAAUGUGUAUUAUACAGUCAUUAGAUAGCGUACUAUAAAUGUGAGUCAAGUUGGUGAUUGAAUGUGUUCAAUUCUUAUAUAUGCUUGGUGAUUUUUUAACUUAUUACUGAGAGUGAUGAACUGAAUUUCUCAACUAUUAUUGUUUAGUUACAGUUGUCCCUCAAUAGCUGAGGGAGAUUAGUUCCAGGACCUCCCUACCAACCACUCAUACCAAAAUCUAUGGAUGUUAAAUCUGUCAUAAAAAAUGUAGUAUUUAAUAUGACCCAUUCACAUCCUCCUGUAUACUUUGAAUUAUCUCUGGAUUAACUAUAAUACUGAAUAUGAUGUAAAUACUAUGUAAAUAGUUGUUAUAAUGACAAGAAAAAACUCUGCAUAUGUUUAGUAUAGAUAGUCUUUUUUUUUUUCAAUAUUUCUGAUCCAUGGUUGGUUGAGAAUGUAGAACCCACAGCUAUGUAAACCUGACUGUACUGUAUCUAUUUUUCUCUUUAAUUUUGUCCAUUUUUGCAUUAUGUAUUUUGGGGCCUAGGUCUUAGGGGAUGAGUUGACCAUUUUAUUAUAAAACGUUCCUUCUUAUCUCCAGCAAUGUUUUUGUCUUAAAAUUUAUUUUGCCUGACAGUAGCAGUUAUCUUUUUUUUUAAGAGAGAGAGAGAGAGAGAGAGUUUUAAUAUUUAUUUUUUAGUUUUCG
rnacentral:lncRNA from 1 species